rnacentral:tRNA from 1 species
GUCCCUAUAGUUUAAAACAGAACAUAACUUUUUCAACGUUAAAGAAUAAGGGAAA